UUUUCAGUGUCGCAGGGAAACCGAUAAACACACCGCCUGGGGAGUACGACCGCAAGGUUAAAACUCAAAUGAAUUGACGGGGACCCGCACAAGUAGUGGAGCAUGUGGUUUAAUUCGAAGAUACGCGCAGAACCUUACCAACACUUGACAUGUUCGUCGCGACUCUAAGAGAUUAGAGUUUUCGGUUCGGCCGGACGAAACACAGGUGCUGCAUGGCUGUCGUCAGCUCGUGUCGUGAGAUGUUGGGUUAAGUCCCGCAACGAGCGCAACCCUCACUUUUAGUUGCCAUCAUUAAGUUGGGCACUCUGAAAGAACUGCCAGUGAUAAGCUGGAGGAAGGUGGGGAUGACGUCAAGUCCUCAUGGCCCUUACGUGUUGGGCUACACACGUGCUACAAUGGCAUCUACAACAGGAAGCAAAACGGCAACGUUAAGCAAAUCCCGAAAAGAUGCCUCAGUUCGGAUUGCACUCUGCAACUCGAGUGCAUGAAGCUGGAAUUACUAGUAAUCGUGGAUCAGCGUGCCACGGUGAAUGCGUUCCCGGGUCUUGUACACACCGCCCGUCACACCAUGGGAGUUGGUUCUACCUUAAGGCAAGGUUUUAAACCCUUGACCACGGUAUAGUCAGCGACUGGGGUGAAGUCGUAACAAGGUAGCCGUAGGGGAACCUGCGGCUGGAUUACCUCCUU
rnacentral:rRNA from 1 species